GGGACAGAGUUUUGCUCUUGUUGCCCAGGCUGGAGUACAGUGCUGCGAUCUCGGCUCACUGCAACCUCGGCUCACUGCAACCUCUGCCUCCCAGGUGAAUUCUCCUGACUCAGCCUCCCGAGUAGCUGGGAUUACAGGCUUGCGCCACCACGCCUGGCUAAUUUUUAUAUUUUUAGUAAAGACGCGGUUUCACCAUGUUGGCCAAGCUGGUCUCGAACUCCUGACCUCAAGUGACCCACCCGCCUCCGCCUCCCAAAGUGCUGGGAUUACAUGCUUGAACCACUGUGCCCGGCCUUUUUUUUUUUUGAGAUGGUGUCUCAAUCUGUCACCCAGGCUGGAGUGCAGUAGCGUGAUCUCGGCUCACUCCAACCUCCACCUCCUGGGUUCAAGUGAUUCUCCCACUUCAGCCUCCCAAGUAGCUGGAACUACAGGUGCACGCCACCAAGCCUGGCUAAUUUUUGUAUUUUUAGUAGAGACAGGGUUUUGCCAUGUUGGCGAGGCUGGUCUUGAACUCCUGACCUGAUCCACUUGCCUCGGACUCCCAAAGUGCUGGGAUUACAGGCACCAUGCCCAGCCAAUUACUCUUAAACUUUUAUAUCUGUCUGUCCCAAGUAAAUUGAGGCCACAGGGACAUCUUCAGUGUGUCAAUGAUACUAAAAAUUUAAAAGAAAAUGAAUAACGAGUAAGUACUUAUUUAUAAAUACACCUAUGUUAUUGAGCAUGAAUGAAUAUUGUUCAAAUCAGAGAUUUCAAAACAUUUUUCAAACUUUGGCCUUGGACUCUAGAAAUAUGGUCCUCUAAAAUUCUGGGUAUUUGUAAGAACAUUUUAAGAAGCCUCUCUAAUGAAGUAUUUAAUAUAAGGCAGAGCCCUUUCUGGACUCUACCCAGGCUACUUAACUAGUAGAAAAAUAGGCAAAUCUCAGGCAAAAGUUUAAUUUGUAGAGAGACAGCUUUGGUUGAAACCUAAAGAAGUGUUGACAUAAAAUGUAUAGAUAUGCCUUACUUUACGCAAACAUAAGAAAAGGUAUAUUUACGAAAGAAAUGAAUGCAAGAUUCUAUUAACUAUGUAUGGACAAUAUAGUAGGGUAUCUUGGGGAAAACCUCCACAAAGUAAGGCAGUAUCAUUUAUCAUUUUAACAGAUAUAUUUUACUUACACGUUGUCACCUCUUACAAUGUAUAAUCCUAGUACCACUUGCUCUACCCCCUGUGAAGAGCUGAAUACUCGUUCAUGGCUUUCAUCCAAAAUCAAAUUAAUGGUCUGGUCAAAACCUUUCAGUGUUCCCUGUAAAGAAAAUAUUCAGGAGAAAAAGAGAAAUAUUCUGCUUUACCUGAAAGUGUAAAUUUAGCCUCACAGUCAUUUUAGUUGCCAGGUAUUCCAAUACAAGUACCUAUACGAUGGCAAAUAAAAUGCCUUUUUUAUAACCAACAGUAUUUGAGGGUACACAAUUUACCUCUUGGUUAUUUGGCUGGGGUGGGGGGACCUGCACCACACAUCUCACUCAUAUGCAGAGUUGACGGCAGUUACAAAGGACACCUGUGUACUAAUGUGAGUAUCUCCAAGUAAGUAGCAUAAAAGCUUACGUAGACCAGCAGCUAAAGGUAUAAACUAAAACAAAGGAGAUUUAAGGGAAAAUGAUAGGCAAAUAUACAUAAAUAAGGAAGAACCAUACAUACCAACUACAGCAAUGUAAUAGUAUCACUAUAGGCUAUAUGCCAGCACUAGGCAGUGUGCUAAACACACCGUACACAUUAUCUCAACUCAUCUCUACCCUUUGAUUUAAUACUAUAAUUAGCCCCAUUUCAAAGAAGAAACUGAGGCACAGAAUGGUGUGUCUUAUGGUCACAUGGGUAGUAAGUGGCAGAGCCAGUAGAUGAACCACAAAAGUCUAGCUCCUGAGCCAGACCACUAAACCGUAACAUCCACAAAAGUCUAGCUCCUGAGCCAGACCACUAAACCAUAACAUUCUAUACUAUUAUACACAAGUAAAUAUAAUUUGCCAUUUUUCAGAUUCAAAUCAGUCCCAUAAAUAUACUAAAAAUUUAACUAGUAGUUACAUGUAACACCUAAUCAGUACAUACUAGUUACCAGUGUUCUGUGUCUCACAUGUAUUGUUUAAUGUGUAUCAUAUGGGUUUAUUGUUUAAUUCUCCCAGUAAGGUAGAUACAAAUGUGACUAUACUAAUUAAAACCAGAGCUUGAAGGAAAUAAUCAGGGAGAGUUUUAUGAAAGCUUAGUAUUGAAUAAAAGAAGACAUGGGUCUAGCAUAACAGAGUAACUCACAUGGUAUUCAAGUUUCUAAAGAAAUAUCAACUAACAUUGGUUUUGAUGGUUAAAUCUCUCAAGCUCUUAAACUGUUUUAUCUUCUGAAAGUCAAAAUAUAUAAAAUGAGAAUGAAAUAAAAAGAGAAUGAAAUAAAAUGAGAAUGAAAUCUAUAACUUGGAAGAGAAACAAAAUAUGGAGUAUUUAUUGAACUAGUUAGCAAAUGGUUGUUAUCAUAAACACCCAUUCAUAACUUCUUGACUUCAUUUUACACAUUAUCCCAUCAAAUAAAUUAUGUGUCAAAGAAAUACAGAACUACUGAACUUUAGAACUUAAGAUGCUCUUUCUAUAUCACUUUCCUUCUUCUUUAAAAUUAAAAAUAAUUUCCCAGUUUAUUAUCUACCCUGUUAACAAAAAUAAGAAAAUUUAAACUUAAGGUUUUCACCAAAUUUAAAAAAAAUGCAAAUAUCUAUUAAUAGCAAUAGGCUUCCUGAAGUGUUGAGAUUAAAAUAUGUCUAACUGUCCAUAUUUGAAAAAAUACAAUGUGAGGUGCCUAAGCAAACAUCAUUGCUUCCUUAAGAAAGAAGCCAGGCAACUGGCCUUGGCUUUGAUGUCAAACCAAAUUUAAAUCCCAGUUUGGUUCUGUCACUUGCUACCCUUGCGACUCUGAGAAAGUGAGUCACCUUCUCUGAACUUGUUUCCUAAUCUAGAAUACAGGGGUACUUAUUCUUCACAAGGUUGUAUUGUACAUUAAAUAAUGUAACACAUAUGCACCUGGCACAUGAUAUAAAUUUAGUAAAUGUCAAAGCUAGAACUUUGACUAAUAAUAGUCACUAAGGACCCAGUGAAAAAAAAAAUCACAAGGCUUAAAAAGAAAAGGAACAAAAGCAAAACUGAAGAAUGGAAAAAUAAGGGAUCAAAUUAUUUUAAGAAACUAGGUAAGGUUAGAAAAUAGAGAAAGUUUAGUAGCCUUAAAAUUCUUUUGAAAGCAUUCAGAGUAUGAAUUAUAAGUGAAGAAAUAAUCAAGUACCCAAAAAUCUUGAGAUGAAUUCCUCAGAUCAAAUUCCAAAUACAAGUAUCACCAUAGGAACGUUUUAUCUUAGUUAUAUGACAUGAAUUAGCAAGGGAGAAACAACUUCAAGGAACAAGCCAAUUUUACAUAUAUAUGUAUAUACAUAGAAAGUCAAUCAUCAUAAUGUGUCCUACAGAAGACAUGUCACACAACCUAAAAACAAUAUUAAGAUUGUAUACAAGCCUUAAAUGUUGAUAUCUAGAUAUUAAUAGUAUCUAAAUCAUUAAAAAGUUACUAAGUAUAUGCAAAAUUUCAAAAAAUUCUGAUUCAUGUGGUGCUGAAUGGGGAAGGAAAUAAAAAUGGAAGAAGAAAAGUAAAUUUAAUAAAGGUCUACAGACCAGGAGCUCUCUGAGGGCAGAAUCUAUUAUUCUAGCUCCUAGAAGCCUUGUAGGUAACACACAAUGUUUAUUAGUGAGGAAAACGUGGAUCGACAGCAAAGUGAUAAAGAGCUGAAUUAUAAUAAAAUUGCACUACCGGUGUAAUGUCCUGUCUAGGCAUUAGAGAUUAGAGGUUUCACAUAAAACUUGCAAGCAAUAAACCUACAGGAAAGCAGAGAAUGAAAAUUCCGAAGACUUACCACAAUCAUUCUCCCAUCUGAUGUAAUAACGGCAACAGUUCCUGAUAACUGAAUCAAAGAAAGUGUUUCUUAGGAAAUGCAAACUGAAAACAGACUCUGGCAAGGUAAUGAUUUGAAUUUUUAGAAGAAAUAUGACAACUAGGUAAAAGUAUUCAACACAGCCACUAAGUUCACUACAUCAAAACGUUAAAAGUUUUUUGGACGCCAAGGCAGGAGGAUCACUUGAGGUGAGACUAGCUUGGGCAACACAGCGAUACCCCCAUCUCUAUUACCCUGGCCUGGUGACCUAUAGUCCCAGCUACUCAGGAGGCAGAGGCAGAGGCAGGAGGAUCACUUGAGGUGAGACUAGCUUGGGCAACACAGCGAUACCCCCAUCUCUAUUACCCUGGCCUGGUGACCUAUAGUCCCAGCUACUCAGGAGGCAAAGGCAGAGGCAGGAGGAUCGCUUGAGGUGAGACUAGCUUGGGCAACACAGCGAUACCCCCAUCUCUAUUACCCUGGCCUGGUGACCUAUAGUCCCAGCUACUCAGGAGGCAGAGGCAGAGGCAGGAGGAUCGCUUGGGCUCAGGAGUUCAAGGUUGCAUUGAGCCAUGAUCAAGCCACUGCACUCCAGCCUGGGCAACAGAGUGAGACCCUCGACUCAAAAAAAGAAAAAAGAAAAAAAAACUUAAAAAAAGCUUCUGUCUUUGUCUUUGUGAUAAUUACAUGAUUAAAAAAGGGAAAAAAUAGAAAAAGAAAAGCUCUUUCUGUAUGUGAUCGGUGUAUCCUAUCUCAAAAUAUCCUGGAUUUUUGACACUUUUCUACUCGGAAUGUUACCAAUCUAUUUCGGGCAGGAUAUUUCGUUUCUUAGGCCUGUUUAUUUCUAAAAUGAAAAUUGGAUGAGUACUAAAUUAAUCGAUGUUGGACGAUCUUCCAGCAUGUUAAAAAACUGUCUUCCAGGACAGGCUUCUGUAAUUCAAAAGUAAAGAAACUAUAUAAGCAGCGUCACAGGGUACCAAUAACGCAUCAUUAAAAGCAUUUGGUAUUUAAUUUUUGUCACCCAGUUUGUACCUGAGCUUAACGUAGUGUUUUUGUCCUGAGACUUUAAAACGGUAACACUUGUAAAGUCUAUUUUAAGACUUCCCAUGGGGUUGUUACUUGCUCCUCACUAUAAUCCAUUACAACAGCAAGCAUUUUUUUCAUUCUACCAACAAGUUGGGACUUCAAGUGGCAAAGGGACAGAAACAGUCUGCGAACCAUCGUUAAACUUUUUGCUAUCCUCGAACGAGCAAAUCAUGUGAAUAAAACAAGUACACAGAUUUGCAAAACUGUUGUCGCCGCCAGGACGACUGUUCAUCUUAUUCACAAACUUUACCACUUAUGCCAUAGGGAAAUAGUAAGGAACUUCAACACUUAUGCCAUGGGGAAAUAGGAAAUCAAGGGCGUAUAUUAGAAUAAUCACAGUGGGUUUUUAUUUGGCUUUUACAGGCAAAAUGGAAAGGACCCCUGGCCCCGCAGCAGCAGCAAGGCUCGAGGCGCCGCCGGCGAACUCUGGGUCGUUCCGGGGCCCUCAUCUCCUCGCCCGCCCCCAGGAUCCCGCCGCGGCCGGGCCUCCCAACCUCCCACCGAUCCCCGACCGGCGGCCUCUCCGCGACCCCGGCUCACGCCCGAGGCGGCCAGCUUGAGGAUACGGUUGAUGUAGUUCUCCAAAGCGGACGUCAUGCUGUUCGGCCCGGCAGUUCCGGCUAACGCAGCGGUGCCGGCAACAAGCAGAACUGAAAGGGCGCGCCAGAACCCGGCAGCGGCUCGCGCCUGCGGCCCGCAGCAAAUAUCGUGAGAGUUGCUGCUCCGCAGCCCUGCGAGUCGGAAAUUGGGACAAACUGGCCAACCAAACAGAAGCCGCACAGCGGUUACGAGAGAGUGCGCGUGCGCAGUAUGUUUUCGCUGUAAUUCUAGGCCGUGUUCCGGAAACCGCGUAAGACAAAAGCGAACGAGAGGCGGAAAAAAGGAAGACGCUUCCUGAAGACUAUGGAUCACAAAUAUUUACAGCUAAAAGGGAACCUAAGAAUUUUCGAAUUUACAUUCUGUGUCAUAUGGAUUAGGAAACUGAAUCCCAAAUAAGUUCAGUGACUCUUUUAGGGUUAUAUAGUAGAACCUACAAUCAAGGCCUCCUGGAUUCUAGUUCAGUGCUUCUUACAAUAGUUAAUAAUAAAAGUAACUGUUCUACUCAAAGGACAAAAUUUUGAGUUUAUAUGUACAUAUGAUCAGCGCAUAUCCAUGGAUACAUCAUUGCUAUUGUAUGUAGAGUUUUUCAGAAAUCAGAAGGAAUAUAUAUACCUUUGAGUCCGAAUACUCAAAGGCAGGUUGACAUUUUUCAGAUGUCACUACCAAUGGGAAGAAUAGGAAAGGCAACUAGGAUAUUGUGGAAGGUAGAAUAAUCUCUCCUACCCCCCCAACCCCCAAAGAUGUCCACAUCCUAAUCCCUGGGAACUGUGAUUGUUACUUUACAUGUCAAACAGCACUUUUCAAAUGUGAUUGAAGGUAAGGACCUUGAGAUGGUGAGGUUAUUCUGGAUUACUCAGCUGGCCCCCUCUAAUCAUGAGUCCUUAAAUGCGGAAGAGGGAAUCAGAAGAGUGGGCCUGAGAGAUGUGACGUGAAAAGACUUGUUCUGCUGUUGAUGGGCUUUGAAGUUGGAGGAAGAGGGCCAUGAGCCAAGAAAUGUGGUUAUCUUUAGAAGCUGAGAACAGCUCUUAGUUUAUAGCCAGCAAGAAAACAGGGACCUUGGUCCUACAACAGCAAGAAACUGAAUUCUGCCAAAAUCUAAGUGAGCAGGAAAUGGAUUCUUCCCUACAGCCUACUUCUGGAGGCAUACAUUCUACUAACACCUUGAUUUAAGUCCAGUCAGACCCAUAUCAGACUUACAGAACUGUAAGUUGAUAAAGUUUUGUUGUUUUAAGCCACUAAGUUUGUGGCGAUUUGUUAUGGAAGGAAUACAAAGUGAUACAGAUAUGCAACCUCUUAAUUUAUUGUCUUCCUGGAUAAAAGUAAAGUGUCUAUACUGUACAUAGGAGGUUUUGAACAUUUUUUAUUCAUUCUAAACGACUUAAGUACUAUUGCUCAUGACCAUCUUUUUCUGUGGCACAAAGUCUUUCUAAAUUCUAAACUUCUGCCCAGAAUUUCCUCUGUGGUGACAUUAAGUAAAAGGUGAGUUUCUUCAAAGUAUUAUUUAAUACAUUUGUGUGUUUUUCUUAUUAUACUGUCAUUCUUAUAAAGUGGAUGCUCCACUGUCAUGACAAGUCGGAGUGGUACAUGUUCAGUCUUUACAUAAAUUUUAAGUCAUCUUCGUCAAGUACCUACUGUGUUCCACACCUCUGUUACUCCAGUGGUUUCUGCUGGUUUUUUCUCUAAGUUUUGUCUCUUGCCCGAACUCGUUUUGUUGGUAAUUAACAGAGCCGGUCUUUAAACUUAGACAGUCAAGCUCCAAUGUACUGCACUGCCAUUGAGAUUGUUGCCCAAGAAAAAUUCACAGUAGUGUCAAGAAAUAAAGAACAUAUAUAGACAAAGGAUCACUUAAGGUUAUUCAGAUUUGAAUAGUUGUGACUGUUUCUUCAGAUUCCUGGGCCUAACUCUUUACAAAGAGGAAGAGACAGAUUCAACACUUUUCUGCCUCUGUGGCAUUUUUUCCAUUUCUUCAGUAUUAAGUAUCUGUACUAUUACUGUUUUCUAUAACAGGGGUUGGCAAACUACAAACCUUGGGGAAAUCAUUCUGUUAGUAAAUGUUAUUGGCACACAACCACAAUCAUUAAUUUGUAUAUCAUCUAUGGCUGCUUUGAGGCUACAACAGCAGAGUUGAGUAAUUGCAACAGACGCCCGCAAGACCUAAAAUAUUUAUUAUCAGGCUCUUUACAGAAAGUUUGCAGACCGCUGUUUUCUGAUGUCAACAAAUGAGAUUUCCAGAGCUUUUAUAUUACCAAUUUAUCAUUCUGACCGGCCUCAUGUAUUCUCAUAAUGCCCAUUUUUGACUAGCUUUGAGAUAUGAUUCUUCCAUUUUUCUGAACUUGACCUCUUGCACUGAGAAUAAAGCACUGAGAGAAACAGACAUAACAAAACCUCAGAGGACUUCAGAGAAAGUCUGUAUUGUUUCCUCCCUACCUACCAUUCUACCUAUUGUUUUUACAAUUUCUGUCAAGAAUAUGCAGGAAAAUAAAUGAAAAAUAACAACAAAAAGAAUAUGCAGGAACUUUUCCAAGUCUUUACCCCAUGUGAUAAUAACUCACAUAAUGGAAUUUUUCAUGCAUGUGGCAUGAUCAAAAAUAAUGGUCUGCAUUUUAACGUAUGCACCAGAAACUAAACUGAAAAUCACCAACAUGUCAAAAUGAUGCAGUGAAUUGAAACAAAAUCUCACCAGAGAGAUUUUUUGAAAACAAGAUAAUUCUUAUUAAAGACAGCUAUUUGUUGGGGACAUUAGUCAUUGCUUUUUGGCUGCUUAACCUCAGUACUGUCUUUUUAUUUCUUGAGAGUUCCCUAUUUUACAAGUUUUGGUGAUAGAGCUCAGUGUAUCAGCCACCUUUUUUCUGAUGUUUCUUGGAGUGAAAGAGGCCUAGGCUCUGCUUAUGACUACCACAGAUAUUGAAUUGAGGGCGGGUGCUGCAAAGCAGCAAAUCCUGUAGAGAAACGACUCUGAUGAUCAUACCAGUUGUAGCAAGAGCAAAUUCAUAAAGGAGCAUGCCAUUGAUGCCUGUGGUGACAUCCAGGGCACAGUGAGCAGUGCCACUGUGUAUUGGGUCAGAAGCUUCAGUUUGAUUGUUUGACAGUGGUGUUCAGAGGGUCCUGGCUUACCCAGCUUUACUCUGCAUUUGGGACCUGCCACCCAGCUACCUAACCUCUGAAUAUUAUUCUCCUUUUUAAAAGGAUAUUGAGUAGCUCACAUAAUUGUAAGACAAUUAUGAGCUAUUUUUGCUCAUAUGGCUUCUAAAUUUUAACUAAAAAAAAUUUAAACCAAGACCCUUUUAUGCAUGUUUACUUUAAAAUGCUAAAUUUUUAUGUACUAAGUUUAUUAAUUGCAAAGAAUGGAACUUCUAGCACAUAGUGUUUUGUUUAUAUGCUUUAAAUAUAUCUUCAUUAAAAUUUUGUAGCUGCAAAUUUAAGUCAUAUUUAUGGUAGAGCCCAUAUCCUUAUCAAACCCAUUAGCUGACUUUAUUUUUCUAUUUAAGUAAAUAUGUUACCCUGCAUCCUGUGAGUGCUGUUGGAGAGUCAGUCUACCAUGAGCCCUGAAAAAUCACUGCACAUUCUUUCCGGGGAUGCUGCUGGUGCAAAGCCCUGACUACUCCUUACCUAGGCAAGUUUUAUGUCUCUUAUAGGUAUAUUAGUAUAUAAUAAUAUCCAUUUCCCAUUUCUCUCAAAAUGACUUCACUGUGCUCCAGUGUACUUUCAGUUUUUGAUAUGUGCAUCUCCGUGUUUGAAGGCAUUUUCUGCACCCCUGUUCGUGUGUGGCAGGCUAGGAAUUCUGGGGAAUUAACACUCCCUCAGGGAGCAGUCUUCAGUCAGUGACUGAGUUUAUAAAUAACAGCCUCUUCAUCAACAAGGUGGGAUAAUCCAGGUGCUAUAUCUGCUCAUUCAACAGUAGCUGGCUUAAUUGUGCACAUUUUAUUGACUCACUUCCUUUCCUUAUAACCCUUCUCCACUGCCUUACUGGUUUUCCCUAAAUAAUCUACUUGCACUUAAAUUCUUGCCCCAGGAUCUGCUUUUGGGAGAACUCAAACUAAGAUAGAGAUCAGAAGUACUCUUCCUUUAAAAAGGUCUGUUUCUUGAGUUAGGAGCAGGAGUCUAGUCCCAGUCCUUGUCAUCAUUUGACUUCACCUGAUUCUCUUUUAUGUGAAGCAAAGGACAGGGUAGGGUUUCUCCCCAUCUUCACACAUCUGCACAAGCCUCCCUAAAUAUUCCUGAGUGGGCAGUCUUUGCUACCACCAAAGUUGGUCUAAAGUGGAUUGUUUACUCAAAAACAAAAUUCCUGUCUUUAGUAGACCAUAGACUGUCUGCUGCACCAGACUUCAACUUGGCCCAAUUAUGUAGCAAGAAAUGAUACAAAGAAGUAACUUAGUUAUCUGAUUGUGGCACAGCUAACAUUUAUUUCAUGGUGUUAGGACAGACUCUUGACUGCCGAUUGCCACUUACCUCAUCAAGCUAGAAAUGGAAAAAGUAGAGUGAGCCCACAUUUCAGAGCUGCUCUGACCUACUGAUUCAUUCCUCUGGGAGGGUGAGAUCCCCACGCUCUGAGAGAACCUCCCGCUUGUUGCAGCCACGAAUCUGUAUUCUAAUCUCAUGUAUAUCAUUUGCCUUGCUUGCGUACUGGUUCAAAGCAAGCCAAGGAGAGAGCACUGUUAGGUGAAUGUGAGAUGCCAUUCUCACCCGUCCUCCAGCAAUAACAACCUCUCUCUGUGGACUGGCAUGGGUGGUCACCACCAAAUAAACCUGAACAUCCUGCAAGCAUAUUGGGCUCUUCAAGCAAACAUUUGACAAAUUUGAUCUCACCUUCCUCCCCAACACCACAGUGAUCUAGUUGUGGCUUUCAAGAAGCCUGAGCCAAACUCGCAGUGUGGUGAUGUUAGUUAGUCAUGGAGAUGAAGGUAUAAGCUACCCAUGCCUUUUCCCUGGAGUAAUUGGGCAUGGGCUGGUGAACUUGCAAGGGCCUGGAGUUUAUGGAAUUUCACUCUUACCAAUUUGGUAAAAAAUAAAAUUAAAAAGUAUGUUUCCACAGAGCAUCGUGGUGUGAGCCUGUGAUCUCAGCUACUUGGGAGACUGAAAUGAGAGAUCACUUGAGUGCAGAAAUUCGAGGCUAUAGUGAGCUGUGAUCACACUAUUCCACUCUAGCCUGGGUGAGAGUGAAUCCCUGUCUCCAAAGUAAAUAAUUAAAAGUGUGUUUUCAUUUCUUAUCUCAGAGAAUCUUUGUGAAAAUAGCUCUUCUUGCUUCUGUCGUAGCUAGCCCUUCUUUGCCUUCCCCAGAGUUUAGACGGAAGACCAGAAGACCCUGAGUGAAGAAAAAGAUCUUCUUUGUAGUCUCUUUUCAUUCCAUACAAAUGGAUGACUAUAAACACAUUAGGCAUUACCAGUCGAUUUGCAGCAAUCGACACAACUUUACCUUAAAUUUUCCUCCCCCAGCAUGCCUCUCCAAAGAAACUUACACAGAAAACCUCAGUAACGAUAGCUGUUGCACUGGGCUUUAACCUUUUCUACUCACUCAUUUAGAAAUCUUUACUGAAAGUUUCACAUGUUAAAAAAUAGAACAAUUAUUUUCAUAGAGAAUAUUGGAAAUAAGUAAGACACAUUUUCUUAAGACUUUUACCUUUUUCAUGGAGUGUGUGUGUGUGUGUAUACAUACAUGUCUGUUUGUAUGUAUAUAACAUUAACCACCAUAGGAAAGCAGAAAGAAAAUAUGCAGUGGUGUGUAUUGCCACACAGAUACUGCUGGGAACAGUAUCUCUCUUUGCACAGAAACUUUUCAGUUUCUCUGUGGGUGGUGUCUCUUGCCCCUUUCAGUUCCCAAGAUAAUUGGGUAUCAAGAGGUCACUACUAGACAGAGAGCCUUAUUUCCUGACCAUCGUCAAUUCUAUAAACGAUGGAGCAAAGUGCCAGAUACUGAGACAAUCAUUGGCUCUCUGAAGCUAAAUAAGAUACUGUUCCUGCUUUUGAGGAGUUUAGGUUGUAAUGAUAUCUUUUCUAAAAUAAAUAGAACUAGCUGAGGUGGUUCUCCCUGUAUUGAGUUUGGGUUGGCAGGCAAGGAAAUGGAGUUAGGCACAGUUGGCUCAACUUUCAAUGGGUGCAAAAUCUUAGAUGAAAAUGAGAAUUGGAAGGAUCCUGUUUUAGCAUUAGUGAAUUAUUCCUUGUAUCCAAUAAGUAAAGUGAUGGACAAAGGUCUGUCUGGGACUAAUUAGGAGAGACAAAAUAAAUCCAAUUUAGAAGGCUGAUACAAAAUUUCUAGAUAGGUUUACGAAUCAGUUGAAUCAAUGAAUGUCUCCUCCUUCCUGAGAUAGUGGAAUAACUUGCCAACAUUGAUUUAGAGAGUUUAUUGAUGUCUCUUGGUCAUUUCACUUCUUGACUGGCUCCCCUAAUAGGCCAUACCCUCCACUCAAGGCUCUGCAGUGGAUUCUCAUCUGCUGAGGGGCAGGUUCAAGCCCAUGCUCAGGAUGCCUCGAUUAUUUCAUCCCGAAUCAUAACUCCCUAGUCUACCCCAUUUGUUCAGAAUUCUAGGAGAGCUACUCUACCCACAUCGGACUCCAGGUGAAUAAGAAAUAAAUGUUGUAUAACAACAAAUUUGGGAGUUUUAAAAAAUAACAGUUAACUCUACACUAAGAUUUUUUUUUUCAUUUUGUAAAUGAGGUUUAAAUUCGAGUGAAGGUUGUAAAUCAUACAUAAUUUCUGUUUAAGUUUAUUAGUGAAGUAAUUCUGAGGCAGUUUCAUGAGUGCAAUUAACAAAUAUUUUAUCCAGGAGAAGUUUUCCUGGAAGAACAGAAAUACAUUGGAAAGUUUUCAGAAUAUUUUAUAAAUAUUUUGUGAAAGUUAGGUUGAAAACUUGAAGAAAGAGGGUAUUGAAUCCUAGUAAAAAUCAGAGAUCCCUGAUUCUGCCAUCCUCAGUAUUUGGCCUCCAUAGUCAUUGAACAGAAGGAAGAGAGGACUUUGGAAUCAUAUGAAGUAAAAGGCCUUGGUGUGGUUUUCGUCACUUUGGUCUACAUCCCAUCUUUUAGUACUGAAUCACAAUUCCCCAACUGAACUAAUGAGAGGCCAAUAAAUACAGUCCACCUGUACACUCAGAAAGAUGUGUGGAAUUGGUAGACAUCUAGCCGAUUUGUUCUAUGUUGUGUUAAUAGAAAUCAUCUAGAACGAAUGCUCUUGUAAAAAGGAUACAGUGGUUAAAGGGUUUUGUUAUAAAGAACUUUCUUAAGACCACACAAAUAAUGGCAAAACUAAACCAGAACUCAGACCUCCAGACCACAAUACUUCCUCCAGUGUUCCAAAUUACCUUCCUACAUUGGCUGGGAGGCUUUUGGAAGGGACAAAAAACCUGAACCAAAGUGGAUUAUGAAAGAAAAAACUUGGAGAGUAUGAGUUCAUGUAACUGAAUUGUGUACACACCGCUCUAAUUUUAGGCUUUAUAAAAGGGAGACUUAAUUCAUCAGUUCGUGUUGCCAUCUGGACACUGAGUCCAUUUUGAUUCUUGUAGCUCUGUCUUCCUGCAGAUGCUGGACUAGUUUUCAUACUAGAUCCCCUCAUGGCAGCAUUAAGGAACUUCACAUUCUUCUCACACUGUUCAUGGAAAGUUCCUGGAACUCCCACAGCAGCAAGGAAACUUCGCUUUUAGGAGUCCUUAGCACAUCUGUAAUGUUUUAUUGGCCAAAAUGUGAUACAUCUCCAUUUCUGGAUUAAUCACUGUGGUCAAGUGCAAGAUGCUUUGCAGGACUCAACCUGGGGAUGAGGUCUGUCCACUCCAUCCACAUAGUCACUUUAUACUGAGGCUGGGUAAGUACUCCUAAGGAAAUCAGGUUUGUUUUGGUUGGAAAAAAAAAUGGAAAUGGAUGCUGAGGUAACAGCCAACAAAUAUCUACUAUUUUCUAAGAUGUGUUUGAAACUAAUGCAAAAAAGCUCUGAGAUUAAGAUAUGUAUGUAGCUCAUCACUUUAAUUGUAUUUCCUGUAUAUAAUAUUUAUGGUACCUAAACUGUUACUAAGAUGUUUAUUAUUUUAUUUAAAAUUUGGUUGAGGUUUUCUAUAUCAUCCUAAACCUAAGUUUGGAAAUAAAGAUUUAAUGCUAUAUGACAGGUACAAUUGCUAUCCUUUAGUGAAAAGUCCUAAAAAUCUUAUGGUUGAGAAUACAAUAUUUACUUUCUGGAAUCUCUGCUCACAAACUUUCUGGACAAAGAGCAUUAUCCACAAUCACUGCUAACUAAAAGGAUAGAGAAACUUUUCUUAGGCUUUCCUCCAGGAUUGUCUGUGCUUAAUCAGCUCCCCUAUAUAUUCUCAAAUAGCCUCUGAAAAUAUACCCUUUGUCCCUUUUUCAACAAAUCCCAUAAUUCUUUAUUUUUUCUUCCUCAUAGUUACUUUCAGACAUUUACAAUGUCUUAAGAGUGUUAUACAAAUUGAAUAGAAUGAAUUGUGCAAAAUAACGAUAUGUUGUAGGUCCAAAAGAACUGUAUCUUUUUAUGUCUGAGAAAAAGUUUUAAAAUCAGCACCUACACAGCAAUAAAUGGUUUAAUGAUAGCCCUUUAAGUGCACCGUCAGAGCUCUUUUACAGAAUUUUGUGAAAGACAUACUAGAUAAUUUCCAUGGAAAUUGGUCUCAUUUAAAUGAUACUAUCCUAAGGAACAUUUCAUAUAAACAACUCAUAUUUUCUUUAAGUUUAUUUUAAAGGUUGAGCUGACAGUCACAUCAGGAUUUGAUAAGUCAGAGCAGUGCUGAUGUUAUUACAAGGUAAUACUUUUACAAUCAUCAGCAACAGGAUAGGACUGCAGAACUGUAACAGACUUUGCAUGAAAAAGUACAAAAUAAUAUGUUUGAGCAGUUGUGAUAAUAAAU